GAUGAACGCUAGCGGUAUGCUUAACACAUGCAAGUCGUACGGGAGUUUUUAACUCAAGUGGCGGACGGGGUGAGUAACACGUGAGAAUUUACCUUUAGGAGGGGGAUAACAAUUGGAAACGAUUGCUAAUACCCCCAUAUGCUUUUUUAAGUGAAACGGAUUUAUUCGCCUAAAGAAAAGCUCGCGGCUGAUUAGCUAGUUGGUAAAGGUAAUGGCUUACCAAGGCGACGAUCAGUAUCUGGUUUGAGAGGAUGAUCAGACACACUGGAACUGAAGACACGGUCCAGACUCCUACGGGAGGCAGCAGUGGGGAAUUUUCCGC
rnacentral:rRNA from 1 species